AUGGAAACUCUAUACCAAACCAUGCAACAGAUGCAAAACCAACAAAACACAACAUUUGCAUUGGUACAACAAAUGCAUAACAACUACAACACCUUGAAUACAAAUGUUAUUGACCUUGGAGUUUCUAUGCACUCACUUCACCUACGCUUGGACGAAUUCGUACCUCCACAACGCCAAGAUGAGCGCCGUCCAAGAACUCGCGGAAGAGGAAGUCGUUCACAUCGUAACGAUUAG